rnacentral:rRNA from 1 species
CCUACGGGCGGCAGCAGUGAGGAAUAUUGGUCAAUGGGCGAGAGCCUGAACCAGCCAAGUAGCGUGCAGGAUGACGGCCCUAUGGGUUGUAAACUGCUUUUAUAAGGGAAUAAAGUGAGUCUCGUGAGACUUUUUGCAUGUACCUUAUGAAUAAGGACCGGCUAAUUCCGUGCCAGCAGCCGCGGUAAUACGGAAGGUCCGGGCGUUAUCCGGAUUUAUUGGGUUUAAAGGGAGCGUAGGCCGGAGAUUAAGCGUGUUGUGAAAUGUAGACGCUCAACGUCUGCACUGCAGCGCGAACUGGUUUCCUUGAGUACGCACAAAGUGGGCGGAAUUCGUGGUGUAGCGGUGAAAUGCUUAGAUAUCACGAAGAACUCCGAUUGCGAAGGCAGCUCACUGGAGCGCAACUGACGCUGAAGCUCGAAAGUGCGGGUAUCGAACAGGAUUAGAUACCCCG